AUGGAUGAGCUCACGUCGCUAACCUGGUCACAGAGGGAGUACCGGCAAUGUAGCAUCAUGAUGCUAAUGGAGUCGUGGCUAACACCGCUAACUCCGGACACGAGCGUGACGCUAAAUGGAUUCCAGCUGCUGAAGGUGGACAGGACGAGAGAGAGCGGUAAGAGGAAAGGGGGGGGACUGGCAGUGUUUGUGAAUGACAGAUGGUGUAACCCUGGGCACAUCACUGUGAAAGAACAACUCUUCAACAGAGACAUUGAGCUGUUAGCCGUUAGCAUGCGUCCGUACUACCUGCCCCGGGAAUUCUCGCAUGUUAUCGCGAUAACAGCGUAUGUCCCCCCCUCAGCCAACGCGGAUGCAGCCUGUGACUCUCUCCGCUCUGUGGUCAGCAGACUGCAAACGCAAUCUCCGAGAGCCCUUCUCAUAAUAUCAGGGGACUUCAAUCAUGCCUCACUGGACUCCACACUGCUCACCUUCACCCAGUAUGUGACAUGCCCAACCAGAGAUAAUAAAACACUGGACUUACUGUACGCCAAUGCUGAAGAGGCAUACAGUUCAUCACCUUUACCUCCCCUAGGCAGAUCUGAUCACAACCUGGUGCAGCUUGUCCCUGUGUAUGAGCCCUUAGUGCGCAGUGAGCCACCAGCCACCCGCACAGUGCAGAGAUGGUCGGAGGAGAGCGAGGAGGCUCUUAAGGAUUGUUUUGAGUCUACUGUGUGGGAGGUGAUCUGUGACGACCACGGAGAGGACAUCGACAGCCUUGUGACAUGGAUUACGGACUAUAUUAACUUCUGUGUUAAUAACACCAUACCUACCAGGACUGUGCGGUGUUUCUCCAACAACAAACCUUGGAUUACCCCAGAAAUUAAAGCUGUCCUCAAGAAGAAGAGGAGGGCCUUCAAAUCCAAAGACAAAGAGGAGUUGAAAAGGGUGCAGAGAGAGCUGAGAGAACUGAUGAGGAAUGAGAAGGACAGCUACAGGCAGAAGAUGGAGAACCAGCUUCAGAAAAACUACGUGGCGAAGUCUGGAGAGGCCUCAGAACCAUCUCAGGCCACAAACAUCAGAACUCUCUGCCUGGGAGGGAUGUGA
rnacentral:lncRNA from 1 species